rnacentral:rRNA from 1 species
UACGGAGGGCGCGAGCGUUGUUCGGAAUCAUUGGGCGUAAAGCGCGUGUAGGCGGCUUGGUAAGUCGAGUGUGAAAGAACGGGGCUCAAACCCGGAAGGUCGCUCGAAACUGCCUGGCUAGAGUCCCGGAGAGGAAGGCGGAAGUCCCGGUGUAGAGGUGAAAUUCGUAGAUAUCGGGAGGAACACCAGCGGCGAAGGCGGGCUUCUGGACGGUGACUGACGCUGAGACGCGAAAGCGUGGGGAGCAAACAGG